UGGGGAAUUUUGCGCAAUGGGCGAAAGCCUGACGCAGCAACGCCGCGUGGGUGAUGAAGGUCUUCGGAUCGUAAAACCCUGUCGUCAGGGACGAAGGUUGUGUUCCUAAUACGGAUGCAGCUUGACGGUACCUGGAGAGGAAGCCCCGGCUAACUCUGUGCCAGUAGCCGCGGUAAUACAGAGGGGGCAAGCGUUAUUCGGAAUUAUUGGGCGUAAAGGGCGCGUAGGCGGUGAUUUAAGUGAGAUGUGCAAUCCCCGGGCUUAACCUGGGAACUGCAUCUCAGACUGGGUCGCUAGAGUGCUGGAGAGGGUGUGUAAUUCCACGUGUAGCGGUGAAAUGCGUAGAGAUGUGGAGGAACACCAGUGGCGAAGGCGGGCACCUGGACAGUAACUGACGCU
rnacentral:rRNA from 1 species